AACGCACAUUGCGCCCGCUAGUAUUCUGGCGGGCAUGCCUGUUCGAGCGUCAUUACAACCAUCAAGCCCUAGGCUUGCGUUGGGGACCUGCGGCCACCGCAGCCCCCUAAAAGCAGUGGCGGUCUCGCUGUCAUACCGAGCGCAGUAGCAACCCUCGCUCCGGGCGUGGCAGUGGGCUUCCGGCCGUGAAACCCUCACUAAGGUUGACCUCGGAUCAGGUAGGAAUACCCGCUGAACUUAA
rnacentral:misc_RNA from 1 species